rnacentral:rRNA from 1 species
AUUGAACGCUGGCGGCAUGCUUUACACAUGCAAGUCGAACGGCAGCACCGAGACGCUUGCUUCUUGGGUGGCGAGUGGCUAACGGGUUAGUCAUAUAUCGGAACUUACCGAGUAAUGGGGGAUCACUAAUCGAAAGAUUAGCUAAUACCUCAUAUUCUCUGACGUUGAAAGCAGGGGACCUUCGGGCCUUUCGUUAUUCGAUCGGCCGCUAUCUGCUUAGCUAGUUGGUGGGGUAAAGGCCUACCAAGGCGACGAUCAGUAGCUGCGAUGAGAGGAUGAUCCGCAAGAUGGGGACAGAGAAAGGGCCGAGACUCUGACAGGAGGCAACAGUGGGGAAUUUUGGAGGAGGGGGGAAAGCGGGAUACAGCAAAGCCGGGUGUAGGAAGAAGGAGUUAGGGUUGGAAAGGAAUUUUGUCAGGGAAGAAAAGGAUGUUGCUAAUACCGGAAGAUGAUGACGGUACCGGAAGAAUAAGCACCGGCUAACUACGUG